rnacentral:lncRNA from 1 species
CAGAGUAGAGCAGUAGUAAAGCAAAAACCCCAAGUAUUAAUCUAGUCACAAGAAAGAUUCUAAACCUCUAAAGAAGAGCAACAGGCGACUAGAAUUCUAAUGAAUAGAGCAAGUAGAGGAACCGUAGGUGGGAACCCAGUCCACUGAAGUCAAUAAACAAACCCAAGAAACAGAUAAGUCCGCAAAUGAGUCAGCAAAUUGCACAAAUGAUCAGACCAAAAUCACAGACACUGCUCCUCCAAAUCAGCAAUUUAAACCAACAUCCAGAAUGUCCUCAAAAACUCGAUUAAAAACUACUAAUGCCAACAAGGAAUGCAGUUGCCGAAUUAAAUCAACCAAAAUUUCAACAAGCACAACACUGGCCGAGAUUCUUCCCAAAAUAUCACCGACAAUUGUUAAAAUUUCAGCCCACCCAAGAACUUCAACAAUCGCACCCAACUGGAGGAAGCAAUGUAAAUAGCAUAGAAACUUCCCAAUUUAACAAACAAGUGCAAUAUUUCAGCUUACCCAAAAUUUCAACAAAUGGCUCCAGAUGGCCAACUAAGUGCACCAGUGCACCCAACCCAAAAGACUUAGCAAGUCCAAGCAAAAAUAAUCUCACCAGUGCCACUGGUGGAAAUCACACAAUUGAAGAAAUAACCCCCAACAAUCAAAAACACCACUAGUAAACAACCCCAGCAGCCCCAAGCAAUAAUAAGAAAUUUGGGUGAUAGCCGCCAAAUACCUUCACCUUAGAGGGGACAGUAGCGGGGAAGGGCAGAGGGAGGCGCGCCUCGCGUUCUGAAGCAGCAGUGGCGCUGGGUGCGGCGUGCGGUAGAGCUGAGGCUGGCGGCUGUCAGGGGAGCUGCUGUGCAGAUCGACGGGCAGCAGUGCGUCCGUGGCUUUGGGAGGCAGCGGCGGCGGCAGUGAGUCGCGCGCAAGGGGCUGUUGGACAGAGCAGCGGCAGCGGAUGGCGCGCGAUGUAGGUGGACACAGCGUGAGGUGGGUGGCAUGCGUGCGUUGAGAUGGCGGUGGGCAGAGCGGCGGACAGAGCGAAACAGAGGAGAAGAACGAAAGAAAAGAGAAAGAAAGAAGAAGAAAGAAAGAAAGAAAAGAAAAGAAGGAAAAAAAACUUUUUUUUUGUUUGUUUUUGUUUUUGUUUUUUCUUGAUAAUUGAGAAUUUUUUUUUUUUUGAUAAUUGAGAAACCUAGCUACGGUUGAAAAAAUUUCUCUUUUUUUUUUUUUUUUAAUCCUUACCUUUCCCGCGAACGUGACGCGGGCACGCCAUGCGGGCAAGAGAGCUCCCAGCAGUUUCUGCUCGUGAGCCAUCUGCACGUCACCACGCGGGCACGUCAUGAGGGCAAGAGAGCUCCCAGAAGUUCAGAAAUUCCUGAUCGUGAGCUUCCUGCGCGUCACCACGCGGGCACGUCAUGACUGAAGUUCACCUACAAAUCAGCAAAAACGAAAAUUAACACCCAGAAUCAGUCAAAUUCAAGGAAAACAGAUUUAAACUAUGACACGAAACCAACAAACAACUAAAAGAAACAAUUGGGUUGCCUCCCAAUGAGCGCCUUUCUUUAAUGUCUUUGGCUAGACAUUAUUAUGUUUUUUUUUUCAUGGAGGAUAAAAUCUUGUGGCUCGUCUCAUUGCUUCAUCCUCUACAUAGUCCUGAUAACCCUCAUAGAUGGAGUAAUCUUUGAGCACACGAGCUAUGGUCUUCCAUGGAUUAGUUGAUGGUGCCAAAUAAUCAAGCAGUGAUCUCAAUUUUUCCUCCACCCCUCCAUCAAGAGCACUCAACGGUUCAAGAUAUUUGACCAUAGCUACUCUUAACUUAUUUCUGCCAUGAGACUCAAAAACUUCCGGUAUAACAAAAUCAAUCUCAUUAACAGAAAUCAUGGAAUAAGAGUUAAGAAAAUGCGGAUUAGGGAAUGGAGGUGGUGUCACCACAUUUGAUGAUUCUUCACUGGAUUCUUUCACUUCAAUAGGUUGCGGUUGGGGUUCCAUUUCUUCAUUUUCGGCUUCUUUUUCAACUGCAUCUGUAGAUUUCUCAUUUUGACAUUCUUGCAUCUCCUCAUCCUUGUCCUUAGGGAUCACAGGCUCAGGCCCUUGAACCUCUUUACCACUCCUCAAGGUCAUGGCGCUGACAUUCUUCGGGUUCAACUCAGGUUGAGAUGGCAAUUCACCUUGGUUCUGGGAAUCCAAACGAUUGAUUGGUGUGGCCAUUUGACUUAUCUGAUUUCUUAUAUCCUGCAUUUCGGAGUCCGUCCAUUGUUGAUUUUGCAUAAUGAUUGCCUCCGUCCUUUGCUGAUUUUGCGCCAUGUUUGUCAUCACUUGUUUUAUCAUCUCCUCCAAAGAUGGAUCAGAGCUUGGGGGCGGAGGUGGUCGGGGUUGGUAUUGCUGCUGGUACCCUGACAGGGAUGUUGGUUGUUGAGACUCUUGCUAUUGAAAAUCCAUUGGCCCGGUCGCAUAAUCAAAACUGGAAUUAUUCCACCAUCCUUGAUCAUACCCGUUUGAAUAAGGGUCAUACUGCAUUUGAUAUUGGGGUGGAAAAUCUCCGAAAGUGUCAAUUGGAGCACUUAGAUUGUCUUGAAAUGCGGGACAUGUGUCAGUUGAAUAACCUGAGUCAAAAUAAGUUCCACAAUUUGCAACAGCCCAUUGAUCAUUAGGAAAAACAUGAGUCUCAUAACCCCAUUGAGGAACAAAGUCCAAUCUAUCAUCAAAAUAUGGAAUGUUAGCAGCCAUAAACUAUAUAAAAAAAGUGAAAAAUAAAUUAAAAAUGAAAACAAGGUGAACUCAAAAAGAAACAAAUUAAUCUGACACCAGUCCCCGGCAACGGCGCCAAAAAUUGACAGGUGCCGAACCUGUACAAUAAUAAAAACCUACUCGAGAAAAAUACAGAUUUUGUAUAUAGCGGUGAGUAGGGUCGAAUCCACAGGGACUGGGGAUAAUUCGUUUCUUCUAGAGUCCAAAGUAUGGGGGGUUUUGGAUUAAAUGCUAACUAGAUAAAUUAACUGCAGAGAAUAAUUAAUUAAAAGAAAUAACUAAGAGAAACUCUAGCCAAGGGUACACUUCAGAAAUGGUUCAUGCAACUGAUCAUUGAUGCAGAAAUAAUUCCAACAUUUAGUAAUAGAUUAGUUAUAGUUGUCAUGCACGCGAUAAACAACCAACCCUCCCUUAAUUUGUCGAUAGGUAAGGUACGACCGUUAGCUAUUUCUCUAACCCAAAAAUAACCCUAGGUACGACCGUAGGAUUUAAUUUUUAGAUUGCAUUAAUAAUUAGAAAGGCCCAAUCCUAACUAACAAACACGCUACGAGGGUUUGUUUAAGUUAGAUCGUAUGUUCCCCUGACAUAAACCCAAUUACGCCAGUUGCUACUGAGAUAGAGAUAACGAACAAUUACGGAUUCAAUUACCCCUAUUUAACAAAAUAGCCUAUGUGAAUAAUUAAAUAUUGCGCAUCUAUUCAAUCACUCACAUGAGCUAUAGCAAUUAAAAGCAGGAAACAUAUAAAUAUCAAUAAAUUAAGGAAACAAUUAAAAUAAAUUAGAUCUCACAGUAAUUGUUGAACCAAAUCUUCAGUUGUCCCCUUGACUAGAAUUGAGAGGUUAGUCCUCCAUUAAUGGAGAACAACCAUGCGGAAGAAUAAAAACUAAACUAUGCUAAAAAGAAGGUCCCCCUGACAUGCGUAGGAAAAGAAAAUAUAAAAAGAGAACUAAGGGAAAAGUUAAAGGGAACAACUCCUAAGUGCUCCUGACAUCCAAGGAGACACGCUACUAUCCCCCAAAGCCAGCAAAGGAAAAAUCAAAGCUAAGCUACUGGACGAAAGAAAACAAAAGUAGUCUUGAUCCUUUGCAAUUCCAAUUCAUAUCAAAUUGCUAAUCUAUUCUCCUGCGCCGAUCCCAUGUGCGGCGGCUCACACCAGGAAAAGAAGACUUUCCAUCCGUUGCCCUCUUCAGCAAAAUACCAAAAAUGGGCAAAAGUUUUCCUUUCCAAAAAUGCCCCUGAGAUAAGCUCUAUUAUUUGGACUCUUUCCCGAUAAUUGUCAAAUUGACACUUAUUAUGGUAUUUUUGUUCUACUCCCUGAAAUAUAUGCAAAAUAUCAAAAGUGAGUAGAAUCUAGCAAAUAAUCCACAUUAGAUCAGAUAAUAGGGAAAAUUAAUAAUAAAAUAAAUGAAUAAAUUGCAACCUAUCAAUUCCCCCCACACCUAAACCAUGCUUGUCCUCAAGCAUAAGAAUAGUAAACAAAUACCAAAAUUUGAUAGUUGCUACUGCUCUAUCCAACAAAUUGCCAAGAUACCAAGAAAAAUAUGUAUCAAGCAUCAAUGAUCAAGUCCAAGAAACAUCAUUUCGGUUAGCUUCUAAACCACAAACUCCUCUAAUUUCAAGUUAACUAAUCUAAGAAAAAGGAAUAACGCAUAACAUUUAUCAGCAAAUGGUCCAACUAUUAAUCCAAAUCUCAACAUUAACCCAUAGAUCGGUAAGCUGACUUUAGACACACACUUACACAACCUUCACCUUUUUUAUCACGUUUUUCUAUUUUUCUCUUUUUUUUUUAUUUUUAUUUUUUUUUCUUUUUCAAUAAUAACAAAAGACUUAGUUUCUAGCUAUUAGAGCCUUUUGACGCGAACUCCAACAUUUGAUAGAUGUAGGAGCCCGGUUACUCAGCUCCAAUCGCUACGAGACCAUGCACUCAUAGCAACUACUACCUUUUGACGCGAAAAUCGACACUUUAGGUGAAGAUCCCCGGUUACUCAGUAGUAACAACUAGUGGAGUACAGUCACCUCUUAUUUACACUCAUAAAGCACAAUAACUAAAAAUAACAGCAGCCAGCCUCAAAUUCCAAACAUGGAGAACUAAAAUUAAUAAUUGGACCAAUUCACAUGAAAAAUGCCAACAAUCAUUCCCUAUGCCUAGGAAAGUUAACCAAAAAUUAUAAGAGUAAAACAAUCAUCGAUAUUCACCAAAGAGAUGUUCUUGGAUUCAACCACAUCAACUUGAUACCCUUUUAUUAUUAAAACUUGGCAAAAGUAGAAAUAGAUGCAAUAAUCCAACAUCAAACCUUGGCAUGCACUUACGAGCCAAUCACUAAAAAGAAGAAAAAGAAAAGGAACGAAAGACACUAGCACCAUAACUGCUCCCCCCACACCUAAAUCCUACAUUGUCCUCAAUGGAGGGAUUAAAGCAAUUAAAGCGAAAAGGGUAACGAAACUUCCCUCACGAGUGGCGAAAGGGUAGGCGGGAAUGGUGCACGGAAACCGAUGUGAUAGAAGUACGCGGCCAAGGUCUGAGACAUCUCAACUCAAUUCAACCAGCACAUGCAAAACUCUGUCCACCCAACAUCUCAAAAGAAUGGCUCCAGUCGGCCAGUUAAUGCCUUAACUUAAAAUCAGCAAUUUCAACCAUGACAACUUAGAUAUUUGACAAUAAUAACUUAGCCAACCAAUUAGAGGUACCAAAUUCAAUUGAAAAUAUUUCCACCAGUACCACUGGGGUAAAACGUAGUCCAAAAUCAAUGAAAUUGCUAUAGCAGAGUAGAGCAGUAGUAAAGCAAAAACCCCAAGUAUUAAUCUAGUCACAAGAAAGAUUCUAAACCUCUAAAGAAGAGCAACAGGCGACUAGAAUUCUAAUGAAUAGAGCAAGUAGAGGAACCGUAGGUGGGAACCCAGUCCACUGAAGUCAAUAAACAAACCCAAGAAACAGAUAAGUCCGCAAAUGAGUCAGCAAAUUGCACAAAUGAUCAGACCAAAAUCACAGACACUGCUCCUCCAAAUCAGCAAUUUAAACCAACAUCCAGAAUGUCCUCAAAAACUCGAUUAAAAACUACUAAUGCCAACAAGGAAUGCAGUUGCCGAAUUAAAUCAACCAAAAUUUCAACAAGCACAACACUGGCCGAGAUUCUUCCCAAAAUAUCACCGACAAUUGUUAAAAUUUCAGCCCACCCAAGAACUUCAACAAUCGCACCCAACUGGAGGAAGCAAUGUAAAUAGCAUAGAAACUUCCCAAUUUAACAAACAAGUGCAAUAUUUCAGCU